rnacentral:rRNA from 1 species
UACGUAGGGACCAAGCGUUGUUCGGAUUUACUGGGCGUAAAGGGCGCGUAGGCGGCGCGGUAAGUCAUUUGUGAAAUCUCUGAGCUUAACUCAGAACGGCCAAGUGAUACUGCAGUGCUAGAGUGUGGAAGGGAGAAUCGGAAUUCUUGGUGUAGCGGUGAAAUGCGUAGAUAUCAAGAGGAACACCUGAGGUGAAGACGGGUUGCUGGGCCAACACUGACGCUGAGGCGCGAAAGCCAGGGGAGCAAACGGG